CGUGUCGCGCAUAUCUGCAUAUCAAUAAGCGGAGGAAAAGAAACUAACAAGGAUUCCCUUAGUAACGGCGAGUGAAGCGGGAAGAGCUCAAAUUUGAAAUCUUCAAGGUUCUACCUUGACGAAUUGUAGUUUAAAGAAGUGUUUUCUGUUAGAUGAGUAGCAAAAGUUCCUUGGAAUGGGACAUCAUAGAGGGUGAGAAUCCCGUAUUUGGUUAUUCAGUUCUAGCUUUGUGAUACACUUUCAAAGAGUCGGAUUGUUUGGGAAUGCAGUCCAAAAUGGGUGGUAAAUUUCAUCUAAAGCUAAAUAUUGGCGAGAGACCGAUAGCGAACAAGUACCGUGAGGGAAAGAUGAAAAGAACUUUGAAAAGAGAGUUAAACAGUACGUGAAAUUGUCAAAAGGGGAAGCGUUUGACACCAGUGUUGUUUUUCCGAAAAUCAAUUACGAAUGGCUUGAUUUUGUGUCGUAUUGACCUUAUCAGCUUUCUUCACUUUUUUCGAGUCUUUCUUAAUGCACUUUUCGGUUAACAAGUCAACAUCAAUUUCUUUUGUUGUAAAAGAGUAUUCGGAAGGUGGCUUUCUUUUCGGAGAAAGUGUUUAUAGCCCUAUACUUCUACAAUCGGAGAGAUUGAGGUCUGCAGCGUAGAUCCUUCGGGGUUAGAUACACUUGUGCUAAGUUGUAGCUUUUCAUAGACAACUUGUUGACUAUGUUUAGUCAUGCGGCUUACUCGCUUGUGCUAUUUUACCUACGCUUAGGAUGUUGACGAUCAGCUGAGCGCG
rnacentral:rRNA from 1 species